CGCCGACUGUACCUACACUGAUUAUGCGGACGUCUGAGUAAAUUGAAACUUUUGUUUUUCACAAAUGUUAAUGUUAAUCAGCAAUAACAUUUUGUAAUUGCUGAUUCUAUAAAAAAUUUUGGCCAGUGAUCGUAAACCCUGUGUUUGAAGGUUACUUUUGUAAUUAUACAUUAUAUUUUACCCGUUAACUAAGCGGUACAAAUGGAAAAAAUGUUGACUACCUCUUUUGCUGAUCUUGCAUUAUUUUUAGAUAAAUUAUGACCUCCAAAUCGAUAAAAUUUAAUAACUCCAGUAGUGCCACAUAGUGCUCAUCAACCUUCAAGGUUAAGGUAUUCUUCAGCUUCAAGACCAAUCUACAGCAACGAAAUAAUGUUCGUCGGACUUUGAGUAUUACUGCGACAAAAAAGCAGUUGCCAAGCGGCACGGAAAUAAACGCGAAGACAUAGAUUCUGAAGAGGAAACAUCUUGUAAAAGGUUGAAGCAGCAGAGACCGCGAAAAACAGCCAAACAUUUAUUUGACGACUCUGAAGACGAAUCAGUUAAUAAACCGUAAGUUUUUAAUCACUUUUAUAACGUUUCACGUAUUUACUUUG